CACGUAGGCACCAAGCGUUGUCCGGAUUUAUUGGGCGUAAAGAGCUCGUAGGCGGUCUGUCGCGUCUGCUGUGAAAACUCGGGGCUUAACCCCGGGCCUGCAGUGGGUACGGGCAGACUAGAGUGCGGUAGGGGAGACUGGAAUUCCUGGUGUAGCGGUGAAAUGCGUAGAUAUCAGGAGGAAUACCGAUGGCGAAGGCAGGUCUCUGGGCUGACACUGACGCUCAUGCACGAAAGCGUGGGGAGCAAACAGG
rnacentral:rRNA from 1 species